AGAAACAGUUUGGUGUCAGAGUAGAACCGAGUCUUGAAGGGUAACUGGAUACAACUGAAAUGCCUUUUCUACUCCAGGGAACAGAAGGAUCGCUUCCAGUGAGAAGUUAUUGGGAGUCUUAGAAGAAGCACAACUCACGUGCAACCUGGUCACAUGAUUGCUUUCUGGAAGCCAGGUACUUUACCAGCAAAUCAGAUCCUA